UACGUAGGGGGCAAGCGUUGUCCGGAUUUAUUGGGCGUAAAGAGCGUGUAGGCGGCUAGGUAGGUCCGUUGUGAAAACUCGAGGCUCAACCUCGAGACGCCGGUGGAAACCAUCUAGCUAGAGUCCGGAAGAGGAGAGUGGAAUUCCUGGUGUAGCGGUGAAAUGCGCAGAUAUCAGGAAGAACACCCGUGGCGAAGGCGGGUCUCUGGGCCGUAACUGACGCUGAGGAGCGAAAGCAUGGGGAGCGAACAGG
rnacentral:rRNA from 1 species